UGUGGGAGCGAGCUUGCUCGCGAUGGCGGAAUGUCAGGCAACAUUUUUGUCGAUUGAACGCAUGUCAUCGCGAGCAAGCUCGCUCCCACA
rnacentral:misc_RNA from 1 species